rnacentral:lncRNA from 1 species
CAAGAACACCUGUAAGAGGUUUGUAACAGCGGAUCGACUGAACACAAACUUCUACAAGGCAGCGCUUACAUGCUAGGACAACCCGCUGCUCAUCCCGGCCACCUCUCCCUCUCGCGCAGGCAAUCACAGCCAUCACUACCUCGGGAACUACAAAGCAAGCUCACCAGUACCUCGUUAAUUUUUGCUUCCCCAGAGACUGAAGGGCCCGAGGAGAAAGGUGUUCGUUCUAAAUUCCAGGCGACUUAAAAGGAGUGCGGGGACUACGGGGGAAACACGUGGAUCCAGGGGAGCGUCUCCGCAGUGGCAGAGGACAGUCAGGCGCUGGGGCCGGGCGCUCGCCAAGGGAACGCGGCGCAACAGAGGGGCGGUCGGCGGGCUGCGCGGGCAGCCAAGGGAGGCCCAGGAAGGGCAUGGACCUGGGGCCGCGCGAGGACGGCUGCAGGAGAUCCGCGGACACCCUCCGGCCCAAAGGGCCUCCCCCGCUGAUGAGGUGGAGGGGAGGGAAGGCUGGCGGCGCGUUCCUCUUACCGUCGGAAUUGGUCUCAGGAUCGAAGCGCUGACCGCAGCCCCGGUUGUAGCACAGCAAGGCCAUUUUCUUUUCCCACCGUCACAGGCAAGGCCCAAACACCGGGAACGGCAAGAGGAUGCGUUAGCCACUCCCGUGUCGCUAGCACCGGUCUGACGACUGAGGCGGCUACCGGCUUCCGGAUACGAUCUGUUGCGUUUCAGGAACCUUCGCGAAUUUUCCGGUCGCGCAGGCGCAGAGGAGAAGGGACGAGGCGGAGGUAGCGGCGGGAGGCUGGCACUAGCCUGGGCCACGAUAGGUCGGACUACAGCUGGUAGCAACUGGGGGUCGGAAGUGGAGCCCAGACAACAGCGGAGGAGAAAUUUCCGGGGGCAGAAAAUGAAGGUGUCCGAGAGACUGACAAUUCUCUUCUGACUUCCUCAGUGCUCACUGGCUUUGGGUAUCUCCUGCAGCAAAGUGGCCGCCCCGCCCUCUCAUCCCCUGCGACCCAGCACCCUUCUUCCUUGCCUUGAGGGUGCGCCUUAGACAGCCCGGGACUUAUUUUACAGCAAGCCAAGCAUGGAAGCCCAGUUGUGGGAUUCUCUUCCACUUGGAAAUUACCUCAAGAUGGGUUAUCUGCAACCUGGCUACAACUGACAUAGUACCAGCUGGAACUCCAGGUGGACAAUAAUUCAAGAUAGCAUUUGCAGCAAGACAUGCAGACCUGCAUCCUGUGCUACUUCUGUGUAUUUUUCAUGCCAAGCCUCUACUUUUAAAUCCCUCCCCUCAGCCGAAGACCUAAAAUGGUCUUUUAAAGAUAUGAGUCUGGCCAUUUCCCAGUUGGUAGCAUUUGAUGUAUAAAACUGCCUUCCUUUCACCACACCUCACUUCUUGAGUUUUCGGCCUCUGAGCAGCAAGCAGCCGCACUUCAGCCAGCUACAAGUAUAUGCUCAGAAGUUACAUUAAAGCAAAAUCAUA